ensembl:antisense C130021I20Rik Riken cDNA C130021I20 gene
UUGGCAGAAGUUUGGUUAGCCAUCGAAACAAAUCCUGUGCCCCACCCCUCUUGAAAAAUUGAUUUGGGAGUUGGGGAAAUCAGGCUUUCUUUUUUUUCUUUCUUGCCUUUUUUAUUUUUAAUAUUUUUGUUGUUUUUUUUUUAAGCUCCAGCGCUCAGAGGAGUGGCCCCAAGCGAGGCCAGACUGUGAGGACGGCGGGGAACGCAGCGACUUCUCCAGGGGACAGCGCCAGGCGGGAGCGGCUGGCCCAAACCCGGACUCGUAGUCUAAGGGACCUGGCCAGGGUUAGAGACUGAGCGCUGGCCACCCUUGGCAAAGUGGGCCUCGACAGCGGGCAACGCAAGGCCAGCGGCACGCAGCUGGAGACUCCUGGGUGCAUCCGGCCAGACAUCCGCGAGAAAACUAGAAGACGUCGCAUCGGGAAACAGGUGUGAAAAAUCUAAGGCCUUGAGCCCUGAGGUUGGGCAGAGGCCUGGGCCUGGAUCUGGACCGCCUUCUCUGGGUAUCUGGGCCCUGGCGCGUUACUGCGGGAAGAAGCCGAGCGGGUAAAGGCUGGGGCGUGCAGAGCCGGGAGGCACCGAACCGCUCGCAGAAGCAGCGGCCCAACCGGGUGCACUCCGCCCUCUGCUGGCCAUAGUGUGUCUCUGCAACCACUGCUGGGCACCGAAAGCCCUGGUUCCAGGCCCGGAGCUUCGCCAUCUCCUUCAGGCUGAGUCGAAAGAAUCUUCUCUGUCUCAAACCUUAAAGACGAACCUCGGACUCUAAGCAAUCGCACAGUGUUUCACCCCCAUCUUCACCCUCCCAUUUCCCCCACGCUCCCUGUGCCUGUCCAUUUCUACCCCAUUCCUCUCCGUUUUUCUUUGGCUGAAUGGUGGCCCCUGUGGCCCGGCUUCAGAGGUUUCCCUGAUCCUCUGGCUGGCAUCUAAGACCGGGUCUGGACCUUUGACUGUGUUUGCUGCGCGUUCUGCAGUGCUUGAAGCCAGGUCUCAGCACCGAGGGCACACCUGUAGCCCCCCCCCCCCCAUUUGAUGCAUGGCUGGUGUGUUUUCCAAGGCUCAGAGUUUUGGGGGCCUCUCCCUGCGCAGCCCGGCCCACUCGGGUCAGGCUGCCGAAACUGUCGGCAACUGAGUCCAGAGUUCCCUGGGUGAACAGUGGCACCAAGAUUGUCUCUAGUCCGAUUGAGGACGAUGCUCCGUUCACAGAUGCCUGUUUCCUUCUGUCCGUUCUCCUCUACCCGUAGGCCUUCUUUGUCCUUACUUUUCAACCCCGAAUUGACUAGACCCGGUCUUCACAUUGCCCCACAUAAUCGUCCAUGUGUCUCCGAGGCAUUCUUAGGGUUCUUGGUCUCCCAUCCUUUGCCUCUAAGGAAGAACAAUACGACUGGACAGGAGAACACCGGCCUAGGCCUAGACCCACUUCUCUCCGCGGGCCUCAAGCUCCUGGCUUCGCCCGUCUCUUCUGUACAAGCGGAUGCCCACCCCUGGCUCUGAGACUCACAACGCAGGUGGCCUAUCUCUUCCGCGCCGUCCAACGCGGGAUGCUUGCGGCCUCCGACGUCUGCUGCAGAAUCCGCUCGGGACUGUUUCCACCUGAGAAAGAGAGUUGCCAGCGACUGCUGGAAUCGCAAGAAACAAAACAGGGAGAGAUCCGGGCUCUUCUUAUCCCAGAGGCGUGCAGCUCCUGAGCCCUGACUUGGUCUCUGGCUCUUCUCCUUUAGGACCUUGCAACCUCACUCGGUAGCGACCCAUCUUGUGAGAGCGGGGGAGCGGUGUGAGGGGAAGGGCUAUACCAGCGAAAACCCAACCGUUUGGUGCUUCUGACCAGAGUCCGGGAGAGAGAGGACCCUUCCUCCAGGUUUAGAACCACCGGCUGCAGUGUCAGAUCCCAGCAGGAGGAGGACCACAGCCUUGGAUUCAUCAGCAAGGAGGCUAUCAGAAGCAUCGCACCGGCCUUCCUGCUCUGCCUCAAGAACCGAAGCCAUGGAACACCUAGGCUCACCCCAUGCUGCCCCUGGCUAAUGGCAUCUCAAGAUCUACGAGGCUCUGCCGCGCAGAAUCAAAGCUGUCCCAAAACUGUGGGCCAAGUCGGGAGCUGCUCCUCGGGGAAACUCAGUCUAUCCCAGACCCUCAGUGAUGAAGAACCCGAAGACCACGGAAAUGGAGCAAGGGCGCGCCCAAGACUCAGCAGAGGUCGAUCACUAGCAAUCCAACUCCCGAGCAUCCAGGUACCCCUCUGAGCAUUCUAGCUGGUCUUCACCCCACACACGAGUCAAAGCAUUGGACGACCACUUUCUACUACCUAAGGAAGGGCGUCUGAAGUCUCCCUGUGCUGGUGGAAGUUCUCCAGAGAGGCGAGACUAGAGAGGGGUUUCUGGGGUACUUAUUCUCCACUGGGGGCUUUUGAGGCUGAUGAGAGAGGGGUGUCAGGGUUUGCUGGUGGCUGGUGAGUGUUAGGAUGCCUAGAGCCAGAAGAUGAACAUCCGCAGCCAGAUCCCUCAGCCCUCCAACAACCCCCACUCUGGCCAUUACUCUGGACCAUCAGGCAUGGACUUGCUCCACUUGUGGGGAAAUCAGGCUCUCUCAGAUCCAAAGGCUGCCGGCAGCUCUUAGGAAGGUUCAGAGAAGGCCCUCCCAGGACUGGUGGCCCAGAACUGAGGUCUCCUACUGGCUACACAAUGGUUAGGAACAGGAGAAGGGCAGGUGUCAGGAAGCAUCCCUGUCUGUCUCAGGGUCUGGUUAGGAGACACCAGGGUAAAAGACCUGCUGCGCCUUUGUACUUCAAGGUCCCUGUCUGUGCAAUGGGCAUAAAAGAGACUUACAGAGUCUCUGAGAGGGUCACAUGAAAGUGCUCGUGGUGUGGCCAGCUCACUGUGGGGCUCUAGAUCUACUAUUUGAUGAAUAAUUGUAUGGGAGGAGAGCUGCUACUUAGACAUAGGAGACUCUCUUCCUCUUUCUGUUCCUCUGCCGCCUCUAGAGCCAGAACGAAAACAGACUUGUCUCAAAUUCAGUCCUGUCUGGUCUCUUCCUUCCCUCUGGGACAGGUGGAGUCCCCGAGCCGGCUACUGUGGACUGGCCACCUGAGACACGGCCAGUGCCUGGGCACCCAGCACAAACAGCUCAGCCUUCUCACUUUGUCAUGAAAACCGAGGCUGAGGGCAGCUAACACCGACAGUGAGAGCUUUGAGAGGCAAUAGAAUCAAGAUUUUUUUUUAAAAGCUCUUUGGAAAGAAACCCGUUAGAGACUGUGAUGUGUGUACUUUUUUUGUAUGUUUGCUUUUUACCAAGCACUUUCCCUAAGAAUCUCUGCAUUUCUUGCCAAAGGAUGGUUUCAACAGGCAUCCUGUCUUUAAGAAUGAGUGGCUCCCCAGUCCAGUUACAGGAACCAGAACAAAGAGAGGGUGAAGGACCGUGUUUGGAGCCAUAAAAGCCUCAUUAGGAACUUAAGACUAACUCACAGAAUCGGACACAGAUUCACAAAAGCCAGGGAGUUCAUUGGUCUCCACCCUGAGGGUCCACGGCUGGGGAAGGGGGGGUGGGUGUGAGCCAGGGCGGGUGCCUCUCUUAUUUGAUCUCUAUCUUAAAUCCACUUCAAAACGCUGCGGCUCAGCCGAAUUGGAGGUUGGCCCCUUCCUGUAAUUAUUUGGUGUCUAGUAAAGUUUUUAUGAGUGUCUGUGCAAAUAAAUGCAUCUGAUGAUGUG